GUCUAUCUAGCUUAGUUGGUAGAGCGCAAGGCUCUUAACCUUGUGGUCGAGGGUUCGAGCCCCAUGGUGGUUG
rnacentral:tRNA from 1 species